AUCUUCCUUGCCUGCAUGUUUGCCAUCAAAUGAACAAGCACACUCUUGCACUGCAUGUGACUCUGCGCUAAUCCUCCUGAGCUUUCGUUGUCCAUGUUUCGCCAUCACUGCAUACUCUGAUCUUUCCAUCAAUGACAAGCACACAUGCCUGAAAACAUGCCAACGGGCUUACUAAGGCAACGAUCAGUAGCUGGUCCGAGAGGAUGAUCAACCACACUGGGAGUGAGACACAACCCAGACUCCUACGGGAGGCAGCAGUGGGGAAUUUUACGCAAUGGGUGAAAUCUUGACAGAGCAAU
rfam:Picea glauca, whole genome shotgun sequence.